rnacentral:rRNA from 1 species
AUUGAACGCUGGCGGCAGGCCUAACACAUGCAAGUCGAGCGGAUGAAGGGAGCUUGCUCCUGGAUUCAGCGGCGGACGGGUGAGUAAUGCCUAGGAAUCUGCCUGGUCGUGGGGGAUAACGUCCGGAAACGGGCGCUAAUACCGCAUACGUCCUGAUGGAGAAAGUGGGGGAUCUUCGGACCUCACGCUAUCUGAUGAGCCUAGGUCGGAUUAGCUAGUUGGUUGGGUAAAGGCCUACCAAGGCGACGAUCCGUAACUGGUCUGAGAGGCUGAUCAGUCACACUGGAACUGAGACACGGUCCAGACUCCUACGGGAGGCAGCAGUGGGGAAUAUUCGGCAAUGGGCGAAAGCCUGAUCCAGCAAUGCCGCGUGUGUGAAGAAGGUCUUCGGAUUGUAAAGCACUUUAAGUUGGGAGGAAGAGCAGUGAGUUAAUACCUUGCUGUCUUGACGUUACCAACAGAGUAAGCACCGGCUAACUUCGUG